GAAAGCAGCCCUGUCUUUGCCUUCUCGUUAAAAUGAGGAGAAAGAGGAAACUAAGAGGUCUGGCUAAGUGUUUUCAAACUUAAUUCACACAGAAUCUAAUGUUAUUAAUGAUAUUACAGAUUCAUUUUGCCAGAGUGAGUUUUUUACCAUAAUCUUGUAGGUUUGCACUUCCAUGGCUGUUCUUACCAUGACCACUUCUCUAUUUCUUAUCUUGUCUAAAUUAACAUAACUUAGUUAUGCUCCGGGACUGAAUGGUCAGGCUUUCCAUAGGAAUGGCAGCCACAAAAACGCUAUCAGUAAUUUCCUGCCCAGUUAGGAUUUCACUUAUUACUGAUUCUUUCAAUUCAAAAAUAUAGACGGCAAAGCCAGAAACGGUCUCUGCCUGUGUGGGGCUUCCAGUCCAGAGAGGCAGAAGCCAUCAUUCAAUAGUCAUGAACGGGAGUUAAAUUAGGAUUCUGAAAGGUUUUCCAAACAGAGGCAACGGGAGUUCCAGGCUCUUCCAACAGGGGGCGCCGCCCAACAGGGACGUCAGGACCCAGCUGCGGUCUGAAGGACAAGGAGAGGCUUGACGCUUCAUCAUAACUCCCACAGGCCCUUCAUUCCACAGUUGAAAUUCUUCUGGGAAAUCUAUUUGACUCUGCAUUUCACACGUCAAAAUCAUUUUCUUCCUUCCUGGUUGGGAAACAGCAAUUAAGGUUCUUCAGUUUAGCAAAAGUUACAAUAUGUCGAUGUCUUGCACAGCCUGUUGCUAAAUUCCCCCAAGACCUUGAGGUGCACUCCAUUCAGACAACUUCUCUUCCCUCUUAGGGUACUUUGCAC
rnacentral:lncRNA from 1 species